rnacentral:rRNA from 1 species
GACAUAGGUGGCGAACGUUAUCCGGAAUUACUGGGCGUAAAGGAUGCGUAGAUGGUAGAAUAAGUUACUGGUCGAUGCCAAACUCAAUUUGGCGGAAGCCGAUAAUACUGUUCUACUCGAGGGCAGGAGAGGUUGUUGGAAUUCUGUGUGGAGCGGUGAAAUGCGUUGAUCUACAGAGGAACACCAAAAAAAGGCGAAGGCAAUCAACUAUUCUGUUCCUGACAUUGAGGCAUGAAGCGUGGGAGGCAAACCGG